UACGUAGGGGGCUAGCGUUGUCCGGAAUCAUUGGGCGUAAAGAGCGUGUAGGCGGCCCGGUAAGUCCGCUGUGAAAGUCCAGGGCUCAACCCUGGGAUGCCGGUGGAUACUGUGGGGCUAGAGUCCGGAAGAGGCGAGUGGAAUUCCUGGUGUAGCGGUGGAAUGCGCAGAUAUCAGGAGGAACACCAAUAGCGAAGGCAGCUCGCUGGGACGGUACUGACGCUAAGGCGCGAAAGCGUGGGGAGCGAACAGG
rnacentral:rRNA from 1 species